CGAUGAAGCCUAGCUUGCUAGGUGGAUUAGUGGCGAACGGGUGAGUAAUACGUGAGUGACCUACCUUUGACUCUGGGAUAAGCCUGGGAAACUGGGUCUAAUACCGGAUACGACCAAUCUCCGCAUGGGGUGUUGGUGGAAAGCGUUAUGGAGUGGUUUUAGAUGGGCUCACGGCCUAUCAGCUUGUUGGUGAGGUAAUGGCUUACCAAGGCGACGACGGGUAGCCGGCCUGAGAGGGUGACCGGCCACACUGGGACUGAGACACGGCCCAGACUCCUACGGGAGGCAGCAGUGGGGAAUAUUGCACAAUGGGCGCAAGCCUGAUGCAGCGACGCCGCGUGAGGGAUGACGGCCUUCGGGUUGUAAACCUCUGUUAGCAUCGAAGAAGCGAAAGUGACGGUAGGUGCAGAGAAAGCGCCGGCUAACUACGUGCCAGCAGCCGCGGUAAUACGUAGGGCGCGAGCGUUGUCCGGAAUUAUUGGGCGUAAAGAGCUUGUAGGCGGUUGGUCGCGUCUGCUGUGAAAGGCUGGGGCUUAACCCU
rnacentral:rRNA from 1 species